rnacentral:misc_RNA from 1 species
AGGAGAAUUGAGGCAUCAAGAGAAAUUGCCGCUACUCUGGCAAAGUCACCCAAUGUAGCAUACCUUCCUGGUGGAAACAACAUGCUUAUGGCAUUGAGUGCAAAUCGUUGAAUAGAGCAUUUGGGUUUGGCAAAACGGCGUCAACAAGAUUGUGAAUUGCUGAAGUAGCAUUUUCUUUGUUGCUAGAAUUUUUUUCGAGUUUACAGACCCUACAUAUGUGGACCUUCCUAAGAAUCUGAAAGUUAGUUUAGCAUUUGGUAAGUUCUUGAAAUUUAUGUUGAAGAACAAACAGAAGAUUUUGUUUAGCCUAAAACUAUGUUCUACCGUUGUAUAACUCUGGAAGAUGCAGUAUUUGAAUUGUGAAUGCUAUGAACAUGUGAUUCAUUUGUGUGCAAUAAUUGAUCUGC